AACGAACGCUGGCGGCAUGCCUAACACAUGCAAGUCGAACGAGACCUUCGGGUCUAGUGGCGCACGGGUGCGUAACGCGUGGGAACCUGCCCUUAGGUUCGGAAUAACUCCCCGAAAGGGGUGCUAAUACCGGAUAAUGUCUUCGGACCAAAGAUUUAUCGCCUUUGGAUGGGCCCGCGUUGGAUUAGCUAGUUGGUAGGGUAAAAGCCUACCAAGGCGACGAUCCAUAGCUGGUCUGAGAGGAUGAUCAGCCACACUGGGACUGAGACACGGCCCAGACUCCUACGGGAGGCAGCAGUGGGGAAUAUUGGACAAUGGGCGAAAGCCUGAUACAGCAAUGCCGCGAGAGUGAUGAAGGCCUUAGGGUUGUAAAGCUCUUUUACCCGGGAUGAUAAUGACAGUACCGGGAGAAUAAGCACCGGCUAACUCCGUG
rnacentral:rRNA from 1 species